GCCGAACUCUUUCUUCGUGCUUAACACAUGCAAGUCGAACGGAAAGGCCCUGCUUUUGUGGGUUGCUCGAGUGGCGAACGGGUGAGUAACACGUGAGUAACCUGCCCUUGACUUUGGGAUAACUUCAGGAAACUGGGGCUAAUACCGGAUAGGAGCUCCUGCUGCAUGGUGGGGGAUGGAAAGUUUCGGCGGUUGUGGAUGGACUCGCGGCUUAUCAGCUUGUUUGUGGGGUAGUGGCUUACCAAGGCUUUGACGGGUAGCCGGCCUGAGAGGGUGACCGGCCACAUUGGGCCUGAGAUACGGCCCAGACUCCUACGGGAGGCAGCAGUGGGGAAUAUUGCACAAUGGGCGGAAGCCUGAUGCAGCAACGCCGCGUGCGGGAUGACGGCCUUCGGGUUGUAAACCGCUUUCGCCUGUGACGAAGCGUGAGUGACGGUAAUGGGUAAAGAAGCACCGGCUAACUACGUG
rnacentral:rRNA from 1 species